rnacentral:rRNA from 1 species
UACAGAGGGUGCAAGCGUUGUUCGGAAUUAUUGGGCGUAAAGCGCGUGUAGGCGGCUUUGCAAGUCGGGUGUGAAAGCCCUCAGCUUAACUGAGGAAGUGCGCCCGAAACUGCAGAGCUUGAGUACCGAGAGGAUGGCGGAAUUCCCCAAGUAGAGGUGAAAUUCGUAGAUAUGGGGAGGAACACCGGUGGCGAAGGCGGCCAUCUGGACGGAUACUGACGCUGAGACGCGAAAGCGUGGGUAGCAAACAGG